AACGUAGGUUCCGAGCGUUAUCCGGAUUUACUGGGCGUAAAACGCGUUCAGGCGGUUUGACAAGUCGGGCAUGAAAUCUCUGGGCUCAACCUGGAGAGGUUGUCCGAUACUGCCAAACUGGAGGGCAGUAGAGGGUGGUGGAAUUCCGGGUGUAGUGGUGAAAUGCGUAGAGAUCCGGAGGAACACCAGUGGCGAAAGCGGCCACCUGGACUGUGCCUGACGCUGAAACGCGAAAGCUAGGGGAGCGAACGGG
rnacentral:rRNA from 1 species